rnacentral:pre_miRNA from 1 species
AGACUUCUGAAUCCGUUAGGAGAUUUCGUCAGACACCAACCCAUUAGGUCUGAUCAGACUUCCAAGAUAAGUGAAGUU